rnacentral:lncRNA from 1 species
CGUGCCUCUGCAUCCUGAAUAGCUGGGAUUACAGGUGUGCACCACCACGUCCUGCUAAUUUUUGUAUUUUUAGAGAUGGGAUUUUGGCACGUUGGCCAAGCUGGUCUCGAACUCCUGGCCUCAAGCAAUCCACCCACCUUAGUCUCCCAAAGUACUGUAAUUACAGGUGUGCACCACCGCGCCCGGCCAGAUCUUCAUAUAUCUAAGAUCCUGUCAAGAAGUCAUGGUAAAUCUCAUCAUGAUCAAGAACGAGACUUUGCUUGCAUCCAGGUAAGUAAUGAUGUAGGCCUUAAGCAAGCACUCAGAAAACAAUCUAAUCAUCAGAUGUAUAAUUAAGUGUGGAUGGUGCCUCUACCUUUUGUGUUACCAUGGUUUUUUUGCAGGCAUUCAGUUAAGAAAUGUUUUCCCCACCAAGGCUAGUAAGCAUUAGCCCUUAUUAUUUUAGAAUUUAGAUAUAAUGUGUAGUACCUAACCAAGCUGGGCAUAGUUGCAUGUGCCUAUAGUAUGAGCUACUCUGGAGGCUGAGGCAGGAAGAUCACUUGAGCCCAGGAGGUCGAGGCUGCAGUGAGCUGUGAUCACACCACUGCACUCCAACUUGGGUGACAGGACAAAACCCUGUCUCUUAAAAAAAUAAAAAAUAUAUAAUGUGUGUUUAACAUUAGUCUCUAAGGAGGGCUAUGCCGGUAUCCAGGUGAGUUAUCCUACUUUUCCACAUUAUAGUAUGACCAAUGAGAUUUCUAAGUCAAGCGAUAAUGGUUUCUCUUAACAUUGGUGUUGAUCUCAAAGUUCUACUAAGAUCAAGGUAGUGUUGGUGGUUCCUCUAAUGAGGAAAAUGACUGAUACAAGUUGCAGGUGCCCCCUCCUUUUUUGCAGGUAAAACAGCGUGUUUCAUUAAACAUAUUCAUUGUUGAAUAUGUUUCUUCAGGUACCAGUAGUCAUGAAAUCAUAGUGAACCUAACAAUGGUCAUUUAUGGGUUCUUGGUAGUAACCAGGUCAGUGAUAAAUUGGGUCUUACCACACUACAGACCACGUGUUGUUCAGAUUUUUAGGUAAGUGAGUAUGGUCCCUCUAACACAGUGUUACUGUGUUUGUCUUUUUCAGGCUUCCCAAAAGUUGUUUGGUAGUAUACAG